rnacentral:rRNA from 1 species
UAAGGAAUAUUGGUCAAUGGGCGCAAGCCUGAACCAGCCAUGCCGCGUGCAGGAAGACGGCCCUACGGGUUGUAAACUGCUUUUAUACGGGAAUAAACCUAUCUACGUGUAGAUAGCUGAAUGUACUGUAAGAAUAAGGAUCGGCUAACUCCGUGCCAGCAGCCGCGGUAAUACGGAGGAUCCAAGCGUUAUCCGGAUUUAUUGGGUUUAAAGGGUGCGUAGGCGGCCUAUUAAGUCAGGGGUGAAAGACGGUAGCUUAACUAUCGCAGUGCCUUUGAUACUGAUAGGCUUGAAUGUACUUGAGGUAGGCGGAAUGUGACAAGUAGCGGUGAAAUGCAUAGAUAUGUCACAGAACACCAAUUGCGAAGGCAGCUUACUAAAGUAUGAUUGACGCUGAGGCACGAAAGCGUGGGGAUCAAACAGGAUUAGAUACCCCCGUAGUCC